rnacentral:rRNA from 1 species
GACCAACGCUGGCGGCGUGCUUAACGCAUGCAAGUCGAACGGAAAGGCCCCUUUGGGGGUACUCGAGUGGCGAACGGGUGAGUAACACGUGAGUAACCUGCCCUUGACUUCGGGAUAACUUCAGGAAACUGGGGCUAAUACCGGAUAGGAAUCCUUGCUGCAUGGUGGGGGUUGGAAAGCUUCGGCGGUUUUGGAUGGACUCGCGGCUUAUCAGCUUGUUGGUGGGGUAGUGGCUUACCAAGGCUUUGACGGGUAGCCGGCCUGAGAGGGCGACCGGCCACAUUGGGACUGAGAUACGGCCCAGACUCCUACGGGAGGCAGCAGUGGGGAAUAUUGCACAAUGGGCGGAAGCCUGAUGCAGCAACGCCGCGGGCGGGAUGACGGCCUUCGGGUUGUAAACCGCUUUCAGCAGGGGCGAAGCUUGUGGUGACGGUACCUGCAGAAGAAGCACCGGCUAACUACGUG